rnacentral:lncRNA from 1 species
AUGUUACAAUAAUUUUACAUUAUACAAUUAUCGGAGUGAUUACAAGAGAAAAAGAUUCAAAAGAAUUACAAAUUUGAAAUGUUAUAAAAUAUUUGUAAAUUUGAAGAUACAUGCUAGCUUAAGUGACAAUCCUCAAUAUAGAAGCUAAAGAUGGGAUAUACUUAUAUAAGAAGGCCGAGCCCACCGGCACUUAGCACCAUCCACAACAGAACAAAAUUACAACCUGAAAAACAACAGGGAAUAAACCCCUGAGUACGCAAUUACUCAGCAAGACUUACCCGACUAAAGAAAAGACUCUCAAGGGUAUGCAGGUUUAUUGGGAAUCAAGGUAAAGCUUAUCAAAUUUCAAAGACUCAUUUUGCAGAAAAGCUUACUAGUAGUGGAUCCUUAUGCCAAGCUUUUACUUCACAGAUUAAGUACUUUUCCUGAAUCUAGAUUUGCCUAAUCUAGAGCAUUCACUUGUCCUACACUAGCUUCGUUUUAGCAGCUUUAGUUUCACUUGUUAUCUACGAUGCAGGGCAGUGAUCCAGUCUUCAUAUCCGAGAAGUAACGGCGAUCCGAAUCGAUUAAUACUCAGCUGAGGAUCUCCAACCACACGACAUAUGUAGCACUUAACCCUUGCAUAUGUCAACUCGCCCACAGUUUUCUCAAGACCAGAACGGGUUCACGCGACCCGAGAGCACAGCACUCCACCGUCCAGCCGUUGGUACACGUUACUCUCGCCAUAGUGCCCGCCAUGUUUCCGAGAGUACAACACCCCACCUUCCAGUCUCUUGCCACGGAGGGUACAAGCUACUCUCGCCAUCUCUCCACUCCCAGUGCGUGCGAGCUGUUCUGGUAUUGGUCCGACCGAGGCUAAGCUUACCCAUGACGAGGCAUGUGGCCAGUUAAAGGGUCCUAGAUCAGCAAGCCUACUUUCGGUACGGUCCUUAAUCGACACAGACGGGCGACCUUUCCUGCUCAACGUCUGGUCUCAUCUUAUUAUUUAACACCCAAAUCAUGUACCUGACAGAGGUACCAUACUUGAAUGAUGAAUUCAUCACUGCAGAUGAUGCGCUCACCAUUACAAGUCUCUUUUCAUAAAACAAACCCAUAACCAGUGUCACACAUCAUUCUUUUAAAAAGAAACAAGUUUUAAUUCUCUAGGCAGGGCUAAGCCUCAUUAGUUCUUUUUGUAAAACAGGUAUCAAGGAGGAUAAUCAAAUUCCAAGGAAUGGUAAUGCAUCAAUUGUUUAUUCACACAACUCCUAUCACCUAAUGCAGCAGGUAAGUGAUAAAAGUUUUUUAAAUAGAAGGAGGUGGCAAAUGCACCGGGGCUUGCCUGGGAUAAACAUUAUGUUAGUGUUGUUAAUUGACGACCACUUGGUAAGUAUCUUCCAUUCUGGUGCUGGCUUGAUGCAUCCACAAGAUUAAUCCUCCAAUACCAUCUCAUGGUUCGCUCUGAUCCAUGUCCUUCAGCUCGCAUAAUCAUCUAGCGUACCUAUUGGAAAUGCAUAAUGCAUAUGAGCAUGGACAUGAAUAGCAUGAGAUAGAUGUUCUAUACUAAAGAGGGUAAACACUUAAAAGAAGUCAUCAUAACUCCUAUGAGCGCACUAGAUGUGAAGAUAUUACUAUGUACCACAAGCACAUCUUUUACACAUAAAUAGGCCUAACGCAAGUAUCAGGCACUCAUACACGCUUAUAAACACAAGACAAUCCAAUCAACUCAAUAAUACUAGAUAUAAAUGUCUACUAACCUUUUUCGCAUUAUUGAUUCACCAUACUCACACAAAACCUAAAUAGUCACUAAUUCAAAUUUACUCACCAAAGUAUUUACUUCAUUCCCAAUUACUAAAGUCUAAAUCAAACAGUAAGAAGGAAAUGAAUUAAUCAAGUAUAACCAGGCAUUUCGAUAAACACUUCAUAUGCAACAAGUUGGUAUCAAUCAAGGACCAAGGAUUAACUAAUCCUCCCUAGGCAAACAAAAAUGACACCAAGAAAUCAGUUUAACACAUGCAGAUUUUCUAGACAGCAGCACAGCAGUUAACUGUUUUAUUCAUAACUCACAAAAUAUGCAUCCAAAAAUAGUAAACUAGGACUUUCUGGAAAGCUUAGAAAGUCCUCCACGAUUUUGGUAUUAUCAUCACAGUGAGAUUCAACAUAUAGAAAUGUCAAACAGUACUAAACGCAAUUUCUGUCCAGAUUUGGACAGAAUUCGGCCACUCACUUUAAAAUUCCGUAACUGGAGUUUCAGCCAUCCAAAUCAGGUGAUCCUAGACUUUUUAGAAAGUUAAUAUAAUUGUCUACAAUUCAUUUAUAAUCAUCUCAAGGUGAUUCAAUGUGUAUCAAAGUCAGUUAAUUCAAACACACAUUGUUGUCCAGAUUUUUAACAGAUUCAAACAUUACAUUUCAAACAGCCAUAACUUGAUUUCUAGACCACCAAAAGGGGUGAUCCAAGACUUUUUGGAAAGCCUAUAAAACGUACUAUAACUUCUUUAUAAUUACUAAGAGCUGAUUCUCAGUUUUACUUAAUCAAACAAUCCAAUUUUCGAAACCUGUACAGAAUUUGGACAGAUUCUGAAACUGGACUUGGAAAAAUCACAACUCCUAAACUGCUAGUCCUAUGGUCAUGAAAUUUUAGCACAAGCAAGAUAAAGGAGUUAUCUAUAACUUUUCUAUAUAACAUUUUCACAGAAAAGAUGAUUUACUUUGCUAAACUAGCUUUAUAAUUAAAAUCGUACCUACAGCCCUAAACAGCAGGAAUUCUAGUUUAGUUCCUAUUUAAGUUAACCACACCUUACCAACUCUUUUAUCAAAGCAUCCAUUGCCUAAUUUGCAUCAUAAACCAAUCUUUAGAUCAAACAAUACUUUGGCUUCAUAAUACUAAUGCACCUAUUUCAUAACAUGAAACUAUACAAUACACCAUAUGCACAUGAUUCAUCCAUUGCACUAUUAAGAAUCCACCACAACCUUGCAUAUAUUUCUACCAUGACAUAUUGCAUAAUUUGCAUUUAAGAACUAAACUGUAACGCAUGACUCGACUACUUCAAAAUCCUGAAUCCAUUCAUUUCAUAUAAUUUGCAAUUCAAACUUAAAGUCAUAUCGCAACGAAGAACCGCUUUCAUGACACUAUGCACAUUUCAUUUAGCACAAAUAUCGACUCCCUACAAAUCAACCAUUUAUUCGAUUAACGGAAACAACGGGUCGACUUACCACGACUAAACUCAAAGCGGCGUCCACAAACACGGCGAUGGCUUUGGGUUCAGUCUUUCUAUCAGACACCUGUCAAGCCCCACCCGGAUCUCGCUUGCUUUCACCCAACAUCCGGGAUUCGCU